AAGUCAUAACAAGGUUUCCGUAGGUGAACCUGCGGAAGGAUCAUUAAUAAUGCCCUCUGACUUCGGUCUGCUGGGUUCAAAUGAGUGCCUUCUCUUCGGAGUUGGCCAUCCUCACACACCGUGAACUGUGGCUUCGGCCAUCACAAACUGUUAGUAAUGAAUGUAAUAUCAUAACAAAAACAAAACUUUUAACAACGGAUCUCUUGGCUCUC
rnacentral:misc_RNA from 1 species